UGGAACUGUGGUUGAAGAGUGGUAUGUUUUUGAUCCUUGUUUGUUUUUAGAUGUGCGCAAUGGCAAAUUUCAGGUUAUUCGUCAAAUAACCAAGGUUUCUAUUUCUCUGAUUAAUGCAGUUUAUUUGACAGAUGUGUAAUGCUGUUUGUUGAAAAAUGCAUUAGAACCAAUGAUGGUAAGAUCUUGGCCUAGCAAAUUGGUAAAAUAUUACCUGCUCUUAAUUACUGAAUCAUAUUGUAGGAUAAAAUCUGCUGUUUAUGUAUGAAAAUUUGUACUUUAUCUCUGAUUAUGUGGUAUAUGCCCAGAAUUUCAUUAUUAAUGAUCGAUUCAUUAAAAUUAUUUUUAAUUGUCUACUUUGUUUUGUGUUGCUGCUGCUCAUUCUGC
rnacentral:lncRNA from 1 species